rnacentral:rRNA from 1 species
GUGGGGAAUCUUCCGCAAUGGACGAAAGUCUGACGGAGCGACGCCGCGUGAGUGAAGAAGGCCUUCGGGUCGUAAAGCUCUGUCAUCAGGGACGAACGGCCGGUGGAGUGGAAAGCCACCGGAUUGACGGUACCUGAGAAGGAAGCCACGGCUAACUACGUGCCAGCAGCCGCGGUAAUACGUAGGUGGCAAGCGUUGUCCGGAAUUAUUGGGCGUAAAGCGCGCGCAGGUGGGAUCUUAAGUCCAUUUUUAAAGUUCGGAGCUCAACUCCGUGAUGGGAUGGAAACUGGGAUUCUUGAGUACCGGAGAGGAAAGCGGAAUUCCCCGUGUAGCGGUGAAAUGCGUAGAUAUGGGGAGGAACACCAGUGGCGAAGGCGGCUUUCUGGACGGUGUCUGACGCUGAGGCGCGAAAGUGUGGGGAGCAAACAGGAUUAGAUACCCGAGUAGUCC